rnacentral:rRNA from 1 species
GGUGCUAACGUCCGUCGUGGAGAGGGAAACAACCCAGACCGCCAGCUAAGGUCCCAAAAUAUUGCUAAGUGGGAAACGAUGUGGGAAGGCAUAGACAGCUAGGAGGUUGGCUUAGAAGCAGCCAUCCUUUAAAGAUAGCGUAACAGCUCACUGGUCUAAAUAAGGGUUCUUGCGCCGAAAAUGUAACGGGGCUAAAGCCAUGCACCGAAACUGAGGGCACUAUUUAUAGUGCGGUAGCAGAGCGUUCUGUAAGCCUGCGAAGGGAUACUCGUGAGAGAUCCUGGAGGUAUCAGAAGUGCAAAUGUUGACAUGAGUAACGAUAAAGAGGGUGAGAGACCCUCUCGCCGAAAGACCAAGGGUUCCUGCUUAAAGUUAAUCUGAGCAGGGUUAGCCGGCUCCUAAGGCGAGGCCGAAAGGCGUAGUCGAUGGGAAUGCAGUUAAUAUUCUGCAGCCUGGUGGUAGUGACGGAUCUCGUAAAUUGUACAUCCUUAUUGGAUUGGUUGUGCAGUGAAGAGGUUCCAGGAAAUAGCUCCACCAUAUAGACCGUACCCCAAACCGACACAGGUGGUCAGGUAGAGAAUACUAAGGCGAUCGAGAGAAUCAUGGUUAAGGAACUCGGCAAAAUGCCCCCGUAACUUCGGGAGA